UGCCAUUUUCAUCAUAAAAUUUUUUAAAAUUUUUAUUUUUAAAUUUAAUACCAUGGUCACUUCAUAUAGAAAUAAUUGAUAAAUUUUUUUUAUUCGAAACCUUUUAACAAAACUUAGAGAAAGCUGAAAAUGCUUCAUCCUUAGAAGCUAAAAAUAAAACCCAAGUAAAAUGCAAAAAAUCAUCAAUGAUCACAAAACCAUAUCUUUUUUCUCCUAGACUAG
rnacentral:lncRNA from 1 species